rnacentral:rRNA from 1 species
CAAAACUUCAAAAAUAGGUCUCAGUUCGGACUGUAGGCUGCAACUCGCCUACACGAAGUUGGAAUUGCUAGUAAUCGUGGAUCAGCAUGCCACGGUGAAUACGUUCCCGGGUCUUGUACACACCGCCCGUCACACCAUGGGAGCUGGUAACACCCGAAGUCAGUAGUCUAACCGCAAGGAGGACGCUGCCGAAGGUGGGAUUAGCGACUGGGGUGAAGUCGUAACAAGGUACC